rnacentral:lncRNA from 13 species
AGCGUGGAUAUAGCCACAUAUACAAAAUUAAGGUGAUUGUGGCAAGAGAGAGACUGUAAACGAGUAGAUGAAUAACCAACUCGUAGUGUUUCUGUGGGCUCAGUUGACUUGCUUGUUCUCUGCAUUUCCUUUUUCUUUUGCCUUCUCACGGUCCUUCCUGCUGAUGGGUGAGAAAAUUGAUGGCUCAUGGAUGCAGUGACCUGAAGGCUUGUGAUUUCUACCCUGGCAUCUUCCUACUCCAUAAACCUGCCUUUCCCAGGGUUUGGGGUACAUGUGAAGAACAUGCAAGAUUGUUGCAUAGGUACACACAUGGCAGUGUGAUUUGCUGCCUUCCUCCCCAUCACCUAUAUCUGGUGGAAGACAGUGUGGCGAUUCCUCAAGGACCUAGAAAUAGAAGUUCCAUUUGACCCAGCAAUCCCAUUUCUGGGUAUAUAUCCAAAGGACUAUAAACUGUUCUAACGCACUUUCUAUCUCCAACUUGUCCAUUUGACCUCUGGAACAAAACUCAUUCUUCUCGUGACAAGUGCCGUGAGAGUUUAACUGUGGCUUGGUUGUUGAUAAGAACCAUGCGCAGGUUUCCCAAAUACGUCCGAAUUUCAUACUUCUUAACUGUUCUAGUUUUCCCUCCUUGAAAUUAGCACACCUUUUUCCAUGUUUACCUUAAGGUGUUGAUUUGGGUUCAAAUUCUGGUUGAUUUGUAUAUUGUAUGACUUAGCUUUUCUGAAUUUCUGUUUACAUAAAUGGAUAGAUAAUUGUAUCUAGAUUUUAGGCUGCUCUAAGGAUGCGAAGAUAUAGUAUAUAUCAAAUUUCUAUCACAGUCUCUGACAUUUAAAUAACCUAUUGCAUGUGAUUUGGUUAUGACAUCUCCCUAUUGAUAAGAAUGCCUCCUUACACCUCAAUCUCCAUCUGAUCACAUGAGCAAUAGCUUUCAUUUAUGCUGCCUUUUGUGGAGGAGAGAUGGCUGGAAUUGAAGAAUAGACUAAGUAUGUAUACUGUGCCAUUUAAUUCCUGACAAUGAGCACCCUGCAAGACACGUGCUAUUGUCUCUACCCAUUAGAUAAAGACGUUAAGCCAUAGGGAGGGUUAAGAGCUUGCUGAAGAUCCCGCAGUAGGAAUCAUGGAGCAGCGGCGAAAAUGUGGGCCAUCUGAUUCCGGGGCACGUGUUGUCAAUCACUACCUUAGAGAUGCCUCUGAGGGAAUUGUAUAUUUAUUUUUUUUAUAUAACUGAGCCUGUUUUAUCAGCCCCCAAAUAUGUAGGGUCUGAUAUGAGAUGCUUAGAUCCUAAUUCAACGAUUCCACCCCUAUACGUAAUAGCUGUUCUUUCCUUAAACCACGAACAAGAUUUAAUCCAUGUGCCAUACAAGUUUUGCAGUAAAUUGCUAAUUAGAAGUUAAAAAAAUCUUAUUG